CUGUGUGUAGCUCAGCUUGGUAGAGUAGGUGCCUUGGAUGCAUCGGGUCAGGGGUUCAAAUCCUCUCGCACAGACCA
rnacentral:tRNA from 4 species